GUGAUGCUCCUGCCUCAGCCUCCCAAGAAGCUGGGAUUGCAGCAGUUGGGGAGGAGAUGACUGCAUUGUGAAAAACCUCCAGACUGCCUGUCUGCACUGGCUGUUGAGAAGUAAAACGCUAAACUGUCUCUUAGGUAAAUCUCUGAAUCACGAAAAGGUUGUCAGUCCAGAACUGGAGGCACUCUGGCCUUCUGCAUGAACCUCUUACAAAUAUCAGGUUCCAUACAACCAGCACUUCUUCAAAGAUGAAUAACCAAAAGGAAUUCAUUAAGCUUGACUGCCACAAAUGUUUGGAAAUCAGAAAGGAAGAAAGAAACAGAAAAACGAAGGACAAAUGAAGAACAGUAACCUAAAAUAUUGCCAUAAAGAAGAUGAACAUUGUGACCAAACAUUUUGCCAUGAGUUUAGAAAGCUUAAUGAAGUAUUUACUUCAUUAGCAGCUCAAAGCAGUUGAUAUAAGAGGCCAGGGAAGAAAUAGAGUGAUUGCAUGAGAAAAUGCAAGGUAAGCUGAUUGAGUGGAAAGAAAAAUAAAUGAAAUUAGAAAAUAAAACCUUUACUGAAAUGAAGAUGAAAUUGAAAGGAUCACGUAGAUAAUAGAGAACUGUGGAAGAUACAAUAAGAGACAGAGUCUAGAAAUGGAAAAA